GUGGGGAAUAUUGGACAAUGGGCGAAAGCCUGAUCCAGCCAUGCCGCGUGAGUGAUGAAGGCCUUAGGGUUGUAAAGCUCUUUCAGUAGGGAAGAUAAUGACGGUACCUACAGAAGAAGCCCCGGCUAACUUCGUGCCAGCAGCCGCGGUAAUACGAAGGGGGCUAGCGUUGUUCGGAUUUACUGGGCGUAAAGCGCACGUAGGCGGAUUGGUCAGUUAGAGGUGAAAUCCUGGAGCUCAACUCCAGAACUGCCUUUAAUACUGCCAGUCUAGAGUCCAGAAGAGGUGAGUGGAACUCCUAGUGUAGAGGUGGAAUUCGUAGAUAUUAGGAAGAACACCAGUGGCGAAGGCGGCUCACUGGUCUGGUGCUGACGCUGAGGUGCGAAAGCGUGGGGAGCAAACAGGAUUAGAUACCCGUGUAGUCC
rnacentral:rRNA from 1 species